UUUAUUAUAAUCGAGUUACAGUAAGUUAAACAAUAUAAAAUAUUAAGUUCCAGGCAAUAGGUCUUAUAUGAUAUGUAUCUUAUGUAUAUCUUGUAUUUUGCAGCAUGUUAAAGAAUAUUUCUGCAUGGUGCACUCUGACUGUUGACAAUAUUCGCAUAUUGAUAUGAGUAAAAGUGACUUCAACAACCAGAAUGUGUUUUUGAUAAAUAUUAAUAAUAACAGUAACUAAAGUAAUGUUAUCAAUUUAUUAUAUGAAUCAUAAGCAUGUGCUUAUCUAUUACAAGUACCUUUGAUGGUAAAAAUUACAUUUUUUAUCUGAAGAGAGUUGGGAAAAAUUUUCAUAUUGAAACGAGAUAUUGUGUAAAGAGGUUUUCAAAGAAGUCGUUUUAACAACAAUGGAAAAGCUUCCGAUUCCCGAAAUAAACGUGAAAGCAUUUGAUACAUGAUUAAAGAAUCGUUCAAAAGUUUGCUUUAUUUUGACAGUGUAAUUUUAAUUACUAUUUUUUUUUUUGAAAU
rnacentral:lncRNA from 1 species